GCUCUGGUAGCCCAAACGGCAAAGCACUUGGCUGUUAACUAAAAGGUUGGUGGUUCGAACCUACCCACCAGCU
rnacentral:tRNA from 1 species